rnacentral:misc_RNA from 1 species
CGCCGAAGGUGGGGCUAAUGACUGGGGUGAAGUCGUAACAAGGUAGCCGUACCGGAAGGUGCGGCUGGAUCACCUCCUAACAGGGAGACAACAAAAUGUUUAAUAUUAUUAUUUUGUCACCUUAGGUCGAUCGGUAUCUCACAUUAUUAAUUAAUUAAGAAUUUCAUUUCCUAAGUUUUUCUAGGUCACACCCAUUAUUUUUCCUGGGCCAUUAGCUCAGGUGGUUAGAGCGCACCCCUGAUAAGGGUGAGGUCCCUGGUUCAAGUCCAGGAUGGCCCAUAUCUCUAUGUUGGGGGUAUAGCUCAGUUGGUAGAGCGCCUGCUUUGCAAGCAGGAUGUCAGCGGUUCGAGUCCGCUUACCUCCACUGAUUACCACCUCUACCAUAAUCUGUAGAAAGGAAAAUUAUUUGAGUUGUGAUCUUUAUUCUGAACGAAUCUAGCUUCCUAAUGAAAACAUUAAGAUGCUGGACUCAUUGAAUUAAUUUCAUUGUUUUCAGAGAACCUUGACAACUGCAUAGAUUAUUUUUAAAGACAAUAAGCAUCUUUAAUGAUGCAGAUUUAUUAUUUGUGCGAAUGCAUUAAUAACAAUUCUAUUAAGCUGAUGCUUCAAUUUUGAAGUUAUUGGUCAAGCUACAAAGGGCUCACGGAGGAUACCUAGGCACACAGAG